GAUGAACGCUAGCUACAGGCUUAACACAUGCAAGUCGAGGGGUAACGAGAGGAAAGCUUGCUUUCCUUGUCGACGACCGGCGCACGGGUGAGUAACGCGUAUCCAACCUGCCCCCAACUAGGGAAUAACCUUGCGAAAGUAAGACUAAUACCCUAUAAUUUCCUCAGAUGACAUCUGACGAGGAAUAAAGAUUUAUCGGUUGUGGAUGGGGAUGCGUCUGAUUAGCUUGUUGGCGGGGUAACGGCCGACCAAGGCAACGAUCAGUAGGGGGUCUGAGAGGAAGGUCCCCCAGAUUGGAACUGAGACACGGACCAAACUCCUACGGGAGGGAGGAGUGAGGAAUAUUGGGCAAUGGGCGGAAGCUUGAACCAGCCAAGUAGCGUGCAGGAUGACGGCCCUAUGGGUUGUAAACUGCUUUUAUACAGGAAUAAAGUUAGCCACGUGUGGUUAUUUGUAGGUACUGUAUGAAUAAGGACCGGCUAAUUCCGUGCCAGCAGCCGCAGUAA
rnacentral:rRNA from 1 species